UACGUAGGGGGCAAGCGUUUGUCCGGAUUUACUGGGCGUAAAGCGCGUGUAGGCGGAAGCGAAAGUCCGGUGUGAAAGCCCCCCGCUCAACGGGGGAAGGUCGCUGGAAACUGCGCUUCUUGAGGGCGGCAGAGGGAAGUGGAAUUGCUGGUGUAGCGGUGAAAUGCGUAGAGAUCAGCAGGAACACCCGUGGCGAAGGCGGCUUCCUGGGCCGCGCCUGACGCUGAGACGCGAAAGCGUGGGGAGCGAACGGG
rnacentral:rRNA from 1 species